rnacentral:lncRNA from 1 species
AUACAGUUCUAAGCAUUGUGACAAAAUUUGCUAGUUUAAUAUGUACUUGAAAUACCGUAAUCCGAAGAUUGUUUUGCCUUUGCGACCAGCGAAGAUCAAAAUCAACAUGCAGGCUGUUCAUGGUCUGCACUGUUCGCUCUUCGGACAGUAAAUUUUCAGUGAACACACCUUCAAAUGGUACUGCCCAAAUUGAAUGAUAGACCAGACAAUUUUAGAAAUUUAGCCAGGUAAAGGUUAAUCUGAAGCCAUAGCAUUACGUACAGCGAAAAACUCGGUACAAUAACAUAUAUUGAACAUACUUUAAUGGACACCCUUAUUAUGUACAGAGUUGUGCGAAUAAGAAUGAAAAAUGAUCCAAAAAGCAAUGCAGUGCUGGAAACAUGAAUAAAAAUCAAACAUGUAGAACAUAACUUUAUUUUAUCGGGUGACUUAAUUUAACACUAAAUUGUGAGAAACCUAAGAUGACGAAUGAUUUCCUCUAAGAAACAAUGUAAACAGUGAAACAUCUGUUUUAGUAAAUAAUAUAAUGAGAAUGUACCUAGUGUUUUUGCAGUGCAACUGGUAAGAAAAUACACACGGAUAAUAAUGAAUUUAAAAUGAAAUCAAAUAAAAAAAAUGUUUGUUUCACAUGCAAAAUCAAAAUAUCUUUCACUCGUAAACACUUUAAACAUCUUCGCUCGUGGCUGUACUACUCGUGAAACUUCUGCAUCUGGUUUGUUUUAUUUAUUCAAUGCAAGAUUGUCCCCUUUUAUUGUGACGUUUCUCAAAUUUAUUAAACUAAAAAUAUAAAAUAAAAAUACUCUAUCCUUAUUAUCUGAUACCACAAACAAUGUACCACAUUGCCUUUCUAUAGAUUCAAAACAAAUCUAUUAAAUAAUGAAUUAAAUCAAUUUAUUCAUCAACACAUACAUAUGGCUAGCUUACACAUUACAGUGCGCUAGAUUUAUAUCUCGUAAAAAAGGCUUCCUCUCGAAACGGAACGGUGAUAUUUUUUCAAGGAAUUAAUAGCAGAAAAGACAAAAAUGAAGGGAGUUUCCCAAAUUCUACUCGCCAUUUCUAUCUGCUCUAUGGAGUGUCACAUUGUCGUUGAAAAUAGUCAACCUUUAAAUAUAAAUGCGGAAACCACUGAUGACGUCUCUAUUGAAGACACGCCUACAAGUGUCAUCAAUGGAAAUACGGAUUCGGAUAACGGACUUUGUCGAAGAUGCAUGUGCAGACUGAAUGGCUGUCCGGAUGUGAUUCGUGCAAGGUGCUUGUCAGCUGGUCCCUUGUGUUGCUGUUGCCUUCCCGGGAACCACCCUUGUCUUGAUAUGGAAGAGUUUGCAGACAAAGUUGCUGACGAUACAGGUGAUACUUUAGAAGCGCUGGAGGAAGGUCUGGAAGACAUAGAUGAAUUAGAGAAAUGAUGAAACAAUGGGAAAUGUAAGGAAAACAAAAUACGAGUUUGAAUUAUUAGACCUAUAUAACUUUAUUGACGCUUACGCAACGGUACUAAUGAACAUGUUUGAGGAACUGGUCAUUAUUAUACCAGAUUUAUAUAGCGCCCUUUUCAUGAUCAAUUUCACGUCAUAGUAGUGUUAUAAAACCAAUAUGUUUUCACGUGGAUUAAUUCGCUAAAAAGUCUUAUUAUCGAUGAAUCGUGACUGAAAUCCUUUAUAAUAGUCAGUUUGAUCGAAAAUAUAUCUCCUUUUUUUGUAUUAUACACAAUGAAAAUUACUGGCGUUUUCAUGUUUUUUUUUUUUACAUAUGUAAACCGCCAAUGCCUGAAAAAAUUUUGAAAAUGUCUUCUUUAUAAAUUCAUUGGAUAUUUAUAUUAAUAGAUUAGUAAAUACGAAUGACAUUCUAUGUAAAAAAUAGUUAUUAAAACACUAGAUUCAGCAUAACCUUUGCGACAUGUUUCCUCGACGCCAUGAUGUAUUUAUUUAAAAAUGACUCGACGACAUCAUGAUAAAUAAAAAUUAUAUUUCUAACAAAAUGAAUAGAUAAAAGUCUCCGUAUGGUA